rfam:Gaeumannomyces graminis var. tritici R3-111a-1 unplaced genomic scaffold supercont2.7, whole genome shotgun sequence.
GGUUGUAUAGCGCAGUGGUAGCGCAUUUGCUUUUGUAGCGGAAAGUUUUGGGUUUAACUUUUGGUACAACCG